UCCCUUCAGGGUAGUCUGGCAACUGCUUUACAGCUGAGACGUCAGCAGCCAUAGUCACUAGUUUCUGGGACUCCCUCAUUCUGAAAAACCUGAGAGCCUUUUAGAAGUUGCCAUAGUGUGAAAUCAGGAAAGGGAACCCUCCCUCGAAUAGAAGAGGGAAGAAAGGGAAUUUUAGGUUGAGAAAAACAGAUGACUGGAACAUUCCGGGUCAGACCUAACAAGGAGGGGAAGCAACGCCAGAGAGGAGAGGUGGGGCAGGAGUCCUUCCAGUGGCCCAAGGGCUGUUUCCUAUAGAGAGGAGAACGGACUUUUUUUUGCAUUUUUCUUUUUCUCAUAUCCCUAAACCCUCAGUUUCACCUGCAAGGACACUAAAGGCCCAGCUUCCAUUCAGUCCAGGACUAUUUCUGGAAGAGGCGCCAGGGGUACUGCAUCUACUGGGACACCUGCUCUCGCUGUUCUGGUCACCUCUGCAGGAGCUAAGAAUCACAACUGAAUUAGAAAAAUGUUUUGAAUGGCCAAGAAUUAAAUGCCAUCAUUCUGUGUCCAGCCAGGAAUUUCUCAGGGAUUGAGCCACUAAAUCUGAAUUUUGGAUCCUGUUUUGCCUGUCACCAAUUCCUAAUGUUAAAUUAGGGGAAGCAAGAAGAAUCUGAGGUGUCUCAUGCCAAGAACAUAUUUCCAGAAAAUGAAGGUAGACAAGGCCCAAGUGUACACGAGGCACACAAAAGGAAAAGGAAUGUGGCCAUCUGUGAUCUUGAAAUUACAAAUGGAGAGUGAGAAAGAAUGAGCUUAUUGCUUGAAACUGGAGAGAAAUGAAGAUUCCACAUUAUGCUACAUUUCUUAUAGGAGACCUUAUAUGCCUCAAGAAUGUCUUGAGUUUUUUAAAAAGCUCAACACAAAGAGAACAAGGUAAGUUCAGUGCAGCUUGAGGGCAGCUUUGAUGCAGCAUUAGAAUAUGUUCACUUGGUGAGGAAAUAGAUUUCUCUUUCUUUGUUUUCCAAUUCAACCACAUUAGGUUUGGCAGCAAACACAAGGUCAAAGAGAAAGCACAGAUGUUUGCUAGAAGGCAAAUUUCAACAGCAAGCAGACCAGUUUACCUGACCUUAAUAAGGUCUUUACAACACAAAAACACCUAGAAAAUAUAAAAGAGCCCAUUAAAAAAAUCUGGCAUACUUUAAUUUUGCCUGAUUCCUGUUAGCAGAAGAGUGAGAUCAGAAUAAGUACGAUCCUCCAUACAGCUUCAUAAAUUGAGAUUACACAGAAAUCAGGCUUUGAAGCCCAUAUAUUGAACUAAAGCACAGGAGAAACAGGUAAUAAAACAUUGAAGGAAAAGAUAUUUAGCCUAAGUUUAUUUCCCCAGAUACAAAGUUUGAGGAUUAUAAGACUCAAUAACAUACCAAAUUACUGUCUAAUUUUCUAAAAGCAUAAAGUCACAUCCCAAAGUGUUGUGCUUCCCUGGUAUCACCUUGGAGACUGAUAUGAGAAACAGUUGAUACCUAGAAUACUUAACGGAAGCAGACUACUCUGGUCAGUUUUCCUUCCACAAGGAGGAAACUUAACAGGGAGAAGGAAGGUUCUUCUAUCUUGAAGGAUAUUAUCCCACACUAUCGCUUUCUCCCUGAACACUAAAGCCUGAGUAGUUCUAGUUAGACUUUUCUUUCCUUUACCUAAGUUUUUAAGUUAUUUUUUUAUAGUAAAAAAGUACGGGGUUAAGAAUUGUUGCUCCAAAGAAAAAUACUAGGGGACUGAAAAAAGGUACUUUGAUUUGAAAUUCUCAGCAUGUGCUGCUAAAAGCCUAUUCAGAUAUAUUGUUAAAUAAAAGAGAGAUUGGAUCACGUAAGAAACACUGACUUGAAAAAAUGUGAAAUCCAGGGAGAAAACAAGGAAGGAGGCCCGCAAAGUAAAGAUGUCAACUCUCAAUACAAUAAACAAACAUACAGCCAAACAUACAUGAGUUCUGGCUCUCUGGCAAUAGACUUCUUAGACACUCUAAUGUCUGACCAAUGACUCUGUUAGGCUGGGAACUUUUGAAUGAAAAUACCAAACAAGUUUCAUUUUUACUUAUAUAAUCUUUGAGGCUUAAAAAAUUAGGCAAAAAUCCUUUAAAAUUUUACUCUAUUUCUUCCCUUUAACUCUUCUGUUUCAUCGUAGCUAAAAAAAAUUAAAGCUCACUUAAUGAGUUUCUCCUCCCUGGAUUUUACUGGAUUGCUGUCUCCUAUACAAAGGCAUUGAUUCCUGAUCGGCUUGCUGCCUCCUUAGGUCUGACGUCACCACAGGAAUUGGUAAACUGUCGAGCCAAGCCAAAAUCAA